rnacentral:rRNA from 1 species
GACGAACGCUGGCGGCGUGCUUAACACAUGCAAGUCGAACGGACCCUUUGGGGUUAGUGGCGAACGGGUGAGUAACACGUGGGUGAUCUGCCCUGCACUUUGGGAUAAGCCUGGGAAACUGGGUCUAAUACCGGAUAGGACUACGCACUGCAUGGUGUGUGGUGGAAAGCUUUUGCGGUGUGGGAUGGGCCCGCGGCCUAUCAGCUUGUUGGUGGGGUGAUGGCCUACCAAGGCGACGACGGGUAGCCGGCCUGAGAGGGUGACCGGCCACACUGGGACUGAGAUACGGCCCAGACUCCUACGGGAGGCAGCAGUGGGGAAUAUUGCACAAUGGGCGCAAGCCUGAUGCAGCGACGCCGCGUGAGGGAUGACGGCCUUCGGGUUGUAAACCUCUUUCGCCAGGGACGAAGCGCAAGUGACGGUACCUGGAGAAGAAGGACCGGCCAACUACGUGCCAGCAGCCGCGGUAAUACGUAGGGUCCGAGCGUUGUCCGGAAUUACUGGGCGUAAAGAGCUCGUAGGUGGUUUGUCGCGUUGUUCGUGAAAACUCACAGCUUAACUGUGGGCGUGCGGGUGAUACGGGCAGACUGGAGUACUGCAGGGGAGACUGGAAUUCCUGGUGUAGCGGUGGAAUGCGCAGAUAUCAGGAGGAACACCGGUGGCGAAGGCGGGUCUCUGGGCAGUAACUGACGCUGAGGAGCGAAAGCGUGGGGAGCGAACAGGAUUAGAUACCCUGGUAGUCCACGCCGUAAACGGUGGGUACUAGGUGUGGGUUUCCUUCCUUGGGAUCCGUGCCGUAGCUAACGCAUUAAGUACCCCGCCUGGGGAGUACGGCCGCAAGGCUAAAACUCAAAGGAAUUGACGGGGGCCCGCACAAGCGGCGGAGCAUGUGGAUUAAUUCGAUGCAACGCGAAGAACCUUACCUGGGUUUGACAUGCACAGGACGCCGGCAGAGAUGUCGGUUCCCUUGUGGCCUGUGUGCAGGUGGUGCAUGGCUGUCGUCAGCUCGUGUCGUGAGAUGUUGGGUUAAGUCCCGCAACGAGCGCAACCCUUGUCUCAUGUUGCCAGCACGUUAUGGUGGGGACUCGUGAGAGACUGCCGGGGUCAACUCGGAGGAAGGUGGGGAUGACGUCAAGUCAUCAUGCCCCUUAUGUCCAGGGCUUCACACAUGCUACAAUGGCCGGUACAAAGGGCUGCGAUGCCGUGAGGUGGAGCGAAUCCUUUCAAAGCCGGUCUCAGUUCGGAUCGGGGUCUGCAACUCGACCCCGUGAAGUCGGAGUCGCUAGUAAUCGCAGAUCAGCAACGCUGCGGUGAAUACGUUCCCGGGCCU